CGCGGUAAUACGUAGGGCGCAAGCGUUAUCCGGAAUUAUUGGGCGUAAAGAGCUCGUAGGCGGUUUGUCGCGUCUGCCGUGAAAGUCCGGGGCUCAACUCCGGAUCUNCGGUGGGUACGGGCAGACUAGAGUGAUGUAGGGGAGACUGGAAUUCCUGGUGUAGCGGUGAAAUGCGCAGAUAUCAGGAGGAACACCGAUGGCGAAGGCAGGUCUCUGGGCAUUAACUGACGCUGAGGAGCGAAAGCAUGGGGAGCGAACAGGAUUAGAUACCCUGGUAGUCCAUGCCGUAAACGUUGGGCACUAGGUGUGGGGGACAUUCCACGUUUUCCGCGCCGUAGCUAACGCAUUAAGUGCCCCGCCUGGGGAGUACGGCCGCAAGGCUAAAACUCAAAGGAAUUGNCGGGGGCCCGCACAAGCGGCGGAGCAUGCGGAUUAAUUCGAUGCAACGCGAAGAACCUUACCAAGGCUUGACAUGAACCGGUAAGACCUGGAAACAGGUCCCCCACUUGUGGCCGGNUUACAGGUGGUGCAUGNUUGUCGUCAGCUCGUGUCGUGAGAUGUUGGGUUAAGUNCCNCAACGAGCGCAACCCUCGUUCNAUGUUUCCAGCGCGUUAUGGCGGGGACUCAUGGGAGACUNCCGGGGUCAACUCGGAGGAAGGUGGGGNCGACGUCAAAUCAUCAUGCCCCUUAUGUCUUGGGCUUCACGCAUGCUACAAUGGCCGGUACAAAGGGUUGCGAUACUGUGAGGUGGAGCUAAUCCCCCAAAGCCGGUCUCAGUUCGGAUUGGGGUCUGCAACUCGACCCCAUGAAGUCGGAGUCGCUAGUAAUCGCAGAUCAGNAACGUUGCGGUGAAUACGU
rnacentral:rRNA from 1 species